GCUAUCCGCCUGGAAACUACAAGCAAUAGCUUAAAACCCAAAGGACUUGGCGGUGCUUUAGACCCACCUAGAGGAGCCUGUUCUAUAACCGAUAACCCCCGUUUAACCUCACCUUUCCUAGUCAUUCCCGCCUAUAUACCGCCGUCGCCAGCUUACCCUGUGAAGGCCAUUCUAGUAAGCUUAAUUGGCAUAGCCCAAAACGUCAGGUCGAGGUGUAGCGUAUGGAAAGGGAAGAAAUGGGCUACAUUCCCUAUUACAGCGAAUCACGGAUAAUAAUACUGAAACGUGUAUCUAGAAGGAGGAUUUAGCAGUAAGCAGAAAGCAGAGCGUUCCGCUG
rnacentral:rRNA from 1 species